CUAAGUUAUUAUACUAAGUUACUUGUACUCGUUGAUACGAUGACUCCGGCCAAAGUCUAUCUUAUAUGUGCAUUGUGCACAUGUCUGUUAAUUACAUCAUGUGUGGGUGGAAAGAGUGGCAUAGAGACAAAACAAUCAACAUAUACGGGUGGCGGCGGACAAUGGCCAUCAGGGAAAAAGAAAAGAAGCUUGGCGGACAAAAGAGAAGAAAAUGAAGAGAAAUUUGUCUACUUCGAGUUUGAGUGAACAAUUAGCAACGGAAAAGUUUCACGACAGCAAACAUAACAUGUAUCAUAUCCAUUGAAAUAUUGAACGACUCCAGAAGAAUUAUAUUGGUGCCGAGUAUGUCAUAUCACAACACAUUUAUCUUAACUCUU